AGCGAACGCUGGCGGCAGGCCUAACACAUGCAAGUCGAACGAACUCUUCGGAGUUAGUGGCGGUCGGGUGAGUAACACGUGGGAACGUGCCUUUUGGUUCGGAAUAACUCAGGGUAACUUGUGCUAAUACCGAAUGUGCCCUUCUGGGGAAAGAUUUAUCGCCAUUAGAGCGGCCCGCGUCUGAUUCGCUAGUUGGUGAGGUAACGGCUCACCAAGGCGACGAUCAGUAGCUGGUCUGAGAGGAUGACCAGCCACACUGGGACUGAGACGCGGCCCAGACUACUACGGGAGGGAGGAGUGGGGAAUCGAGCGAAAGGGGCGAAAGCAUGACGGAGCCAGGGCGCGAGAAUGAUGAAGGUGUUAGGAAAGAAAAAUACUUUCACCGGGGACGAUAAUGACGGUACCCGGAGAAGAAGCCCCGGCUAACUUCGUG
rnacentral:rRNA from 1 species